AAUAGGCUAAUUAAGAGCGUAAGGGGAAUGCCUUGGCUCUCAGAGGCGAUGAAGGACGUGAUAAGCUGCGAUAAGCUUUGGGGAGUGGCACAAACACUUUGAUCCGAAGAUUUCCGAAUGGGGCAACCCGGCAUAUUGAAGAUAUGUCACACUGUAAAGUGAGCAAACCUGGUGAACUGAAACAUCUAAGUAACCAGAGGAAUAGAAAACAAAAGUGAUUCCGCUAGUAGUGGCGAGCGAACGUGGAACAGCCCAAACCUAUGUUGUUACGGCAAUAUAGGG
rnacentral:rRNA from 1 species